rnacentral:lncRNA from 1 species
GACACUUGGAUGACGAAAAACAGCACUUGAUGAGCAGAGGCAAAGGAUGUCGGUGCUAUUGACAGUCCUGGGCAUGAAUCUUUCGGACUGCAAAUGCCCGCUGAAUAUGGACUCCAACGGUGCCCUAGGGGAUGGUGGAGCCACCAGAUGGAAGGAGCCUGGUGAUCCCGAGAAGGAGAGAUGCCUCGCUGACCUGAACAUCUUUCCAGAACUGUUAAAUGAAGCCUGCAGGACACCAGCUGACAGUGGAAGGACUGAGGAAGGUUGUAUAAUUUUGUGCAAGGUCCACCACAAAUCCAGCUGAAGAACUGCUCCAAAGUUUAGGUCAUGGCAAGAACAAGACUGGAUCACUCCAUGUCAGUGGAAACAUGUCCACCAACUUCAUCAUUGUCUGUUGUCAUGGUUCACUUUAGAUGUAAACUUGACUGGAUUAAGGAUUCCCUAAAGUGUCAGGCCUCUGAGCCCAAGCUAAGCCAUCAUAUCCCCUGUGACCUGCAUGUACACAUCCAGAUGGCCGGUUCCUGCCUUAACUGACGACAUUCCACCACAAAAGAAGUGAAAAUGGCCUGUUCCUGCCUUAACUGAUGACAUUAUCUUGUGAAAUUCCUUCUCCUGGCUCAUCCUGGCUCCAAAGCUCCCCCACUGAGCACCUUGUGACCCCCACUCCUGCCCACCAGAGAACAACCCCCUUUGACUGUAAUUUUCCUUUACCUUCCCAAAUCUUAUAAAAUGGCCCCACCCCAUCUCCCUUUGCUGACUUUCUUUUCAGACUCAGCCCUCCUGCAACCAGUUGAUUAAAAGCUUUAUUGCUCACA